GACGAACGCUGGCGGCGUGCUUAACACAUGCAAGUCGAACGGAAAGGCCCUGCUUGUGUGGGGUGCUCGAGUGGCGAACGGGUGAGUAACACGUGAGUAACCUGCCCUUGACUUUGGGAUAACUUCAGGAAACUGGGGCUACUACCGGAUAGGAGCUCCUGCUGCAUGGUGGGGGUUGGAAAGUUUGGGCUGUUGGGGAUGGACUCGCGGCUUAUCAGCUUGUUGGUGGGGUAGUGGCUUACCAAGGCUUUGACGGGUAGCCGGCCUGAGAGGGUGACCGGGCACAUGGGGACUGAGAUACGGCCCAGACGCCUACGGGAGGCAGCAGUGGGGAAUAUUGCACAAUGGGCGGAAGCGUGAUGCAGCAACGCCGCGUGCGGGAUGACGGCCUUCGGGUUGUAAACCGCUUUCGCCUGUGACGAAGCGUGAGUGACGGUAAUGGGUAAAGAAGCACCGGCUAACUACGUG
rnacentral:rRNA from 1 species